rnacentral:tRNA from 1 species
UAGGCGGAUGUCCACUGGUUUGGACGCUUAGCUGUUAACUAAGUAUUUGUAGGAUCGAGGCCUGCUCGUCUAG